rnacentral:rRNA from 1 species
UUGCGGGAGCUUGCUCCCAAAAGUUAGCGGCGGACGGGUGAGUAACACGUGGGCAACCUGCCUAUAAGACUGGGAUAACUUCGGGAAACCGGAGCUAAUACCAGAUAAUUCUUUUCUACACAUGUAGAAAAGCUAAAAGACGGUUUACGCUGUCACUUAUAGAUGGGCCCGCGGCGCAUUAGUUAGUUGGUGAGGUAACGGCUCACCAAGGCCACGAUGCGUAGCCGACCUGAGAGGGUGAUCGGCCACACUGGGACUGAGACACGGCCCAGACUCCUACGGGAGGCAGCAGUAGGGAAUCUUCCGCAAUGGACGAAAGUCUGACAGAGCAACGCCGCGUGAGUGAUGAAGGUUUUCGGA